GGUCGGGUAGCUCAGUUGGUAGAGUAGAGGAUUGAAAAUCCUUUGGUCGACAGUUCAAGUCUGUCCCUGACCA
rnacentral:tRNA from 1 species